rnacentral:rRNA from 1 species
UACAGAGGUCUCAAGCGUUGUUCGGAUUCAUUGGGCGUAAAGGGUGCGUAGGCGGGUUGGUAAGUCCGUGGUGAAAUCUCCCGAGCUUAACUCGGAAACUGCCGUGGAUACUAUCAAUCUUGAAUAUCGUGGAGGUAAGCGGAAUAUGUCAUGUAGCGGUGAAAUGCUUAGAUAUGACAUAGAACACCAAUUGCGUAGGCAGCUUACUACACGAUCAUUGACGCUGGAGGCACGAAAGCGUGGGGAGCAAACAGG